UACAGAGGGAGCUAGCGUUGUUCGGAAUUAUUGGGCGUAAAGAGCUCGUAGGCGGUCUGUCGCGUCGAUCGUGAAAACUUGGGGCUUAACCCUGAGCUUGCGGUCGAUACGGGCAUGACUGGAGUUCGGCAGGGGAGACUGGAAUUCCUGGUGUAGCGGUGAAAUGCGCAGAUAUCAGGAGGAACACCGGUGGCGAAGGCGGGGUCUCUGGGCCGAUACUGACGCUGAGGAGCGAAAGCGUGGGGAGCGAACAGG
rnacentral:rRNA from 1 species